rnacentral:rRNA from 1 species
CAGUAGCCGCGGUAAUACGUAUGUCACAAGCGUUAUCCGGAUUUAUUGGGCGUAAAGCGCGUCUAGGUGGUUAUGUAAGUCUGAUGUGAAAAUGCAGGGCUCAACUCUGUAUUGCGUUGGAAACUGUGUAACUAGAGUACUGGAGAGGUAAGCGGAACUACAAGUGUAGAGGUGAAAUUCGUAGAUAUUUGUAGGAAUGCCGAUGGGAAAGCCAGCUUACUGGACAGAUACUGACGCUAAAGCGCGAAAGCGUGGGUAGCAAACAGGAUUAGAUACACGCGUAGUCCCUGUCUCUUAUACA